GACAUCCAAAGAACUUAGCAGAGAUGCUUUGGUGCCUUCGGGAACUCUGAGACAGGUGCUGCAUGGCUGUCGUCAGCUCGUGUUGUGAAAUGUUGGGUUAAGUCCCGCAACGAGCGCAACCCUUAUCCUUUGUUGCCAGCGGUUAGGCCGGGAACUCAAAGGAGACUGCCAGUGAUAAACUGGAGGAAGGUGGGGAUGACGUCAAGUCAUCAUGGCCCUUACGAGUAGGGCUACACACGUGCUACAAUGGCGCAUACAAAGAGAAGCGACCUCGCGAGAGCAAGCGGACCUCAUAAAGUGCGUCGUAGUCCGGAUUGGAGUCUGCAACUCGACUCCAUGAAGUCGGAAUCGCUAGUAAUCGUGGAUCAGAAUGCCACGGUGAAUACGUUCCCGGGUCUUGUAC
rnacentral:rRNA from 2 species